rnacentral:rRNA from 1 species
AUUGAACGCUGGCGGCAGGCCUAACACAUGCAAGUCGAACGAGUGGCGGACGGGUGAGUAAUGUCUGGGAAACUGCCUGAUGGAGGGGGAUAACUCCUGGAAACGGUAGCUAAUACCGCAUACCAUCGGAUGUGCCCAGAUGUGCUUAGCUUGUUGGUGGGGUAACGGCUCACCAAGGCGACGCUCCCUAGCUGGUCUGAGAGGAUGACCAGCCACACUGGAACGGAGACACGGUCCAGACUCCUACGGGGGGCAGCAGGGGGGAAUAUUGCACAAUGGGCGCAAGCCUGAUGCGGCCAUGCCGCGUGUAUGAAGAGGGCCUUCGGGUUGUAAGGUACUUUCAGCGGGGAGGCGUUACCGGCAGAGGAAGCACCGGCUAACUCCGUGCCAGCAGCCGCGGUAAUAC